GCCCCCUUGGCACCUGCGUCAGAUGCCAGCCGGCAAGGGUGCGGAGAGAGAGUGAGGGACCUUGAGUGGUGCUGCGCGUGUCCUCAGCUCAGUGAGCCCCCUCUGGCACCGCGGGGAGCCUGUAAAUGAAGGCACCCCAGAGAUUUUUGAGAAUUAAAGUAAGAUAUGGACUCUUGGCACCGGAACCUGGAGAAGGGACUGGCUUUGGGGACACCCCACAGAGAGAAGAGGCAGGGGAGUGGAUGAAGGAGAAGGCGGAUGCAGGCUGAGAGAAGGGGAAGAGAAACGGGAGAACCACUGGACACUUCUGCUGGAGUCUACACCACCCAUAAGAGGUGGCUAAUAGGACAGCUAUCAGCUGGACCCAGGCUCCCUGAGUUCUGGUCCUUACUCAGGGUGUAUCCAAAGGUCUCUGCAUCUUCCUGCACCUCAGAUGACUGGGCAGCCCUUUGUAGAACGUCACCUCUGCCUUGUCUGGGUCCUCCCCAGUCAUGUGGCACCUGGGUGGCCUUUAGAGCAUCGUGGGCCACAACAAGCCUGCCAGGACAUGGAAUCCACACAGAUCUGUGGGACCCACAGUUUGCUUGUUACCUCAGUUUUAAAGUCCUCUGGGGAGAGAUUUGAUUGGGAAGCUUUGGAAAGGGUCAUCUCACCCUGCUGAGGAGGCCAUUUCUCUAUGACCAGCUAGGAUAAGAAACCACUGUGGUGGCUUGAAUGAGAAUGCCCCUUCUAGGCUCAUGUGUCUGGACACUUGGCUCCCUGUCAGUGGCACUGUUUGGGGAGGUCUAGGGAUGUGGCCUUGCUGAGGGAGGCAUGCCACUGGGAGUGGGCUUUUAGGUUAAAAAAAAAAAAAAAGCCUCUUGCCGUUCCCAGUGCUCGCUCCCCGCUUCCUGUGUUCUAGACGUGAGCUCUCCCCUUACGGCUCCAGCUGCCUUGCCUGCUGCUUCCGCCAUGCUUCUCUUGUGGCUCUGGAACCACAAACUCAAAUAAACCUCUCCCUUCUA